GCUUAAAUAUGGCUCAGUUAGUAGAGCAUGAGACUCUUAGGCUAGAUCUAGACACAUCAAAGAAGCGAUUCAGUUAAGCACAUUGUAAACUUCAUACAGGGAAAUCCCGUUGGCGAAAAAUGGGAUUCCACAGUGCCAUCUGGUGUCACAGUGUUACAACACACAUAAAGCACUUUAUCUUUACAAAGGUAGAAGAGUUCUUAAUCUCAGGGCGAUGAGUUCAAGCCCCACGUUGGGCA